rnacentral:rRNA from 1 species
GACGAACGCUGGCGGCGUGCUUAACACAUGCAAGUCGAGCGGUAAGGCCCUUUCGGGGGUACACGAGCGGCGAACGGGUGAGUAACACGUGGGUGACCUGCCCUUAGCUCUGGGAUAAGCCUGGGAAACCGGGUCUAAUACCGGAUAUGACUCCGCGGCGCAUGUUGUGGGGUGGAAAGCCUUGUGCGGCUGGAGAUGGGCCCGCGGCCUAUCAGCUUGUUGGUGGGGUGAUGGCCUACCAAGGCGACGACGGGUAGCCGGCCUGAGAGGGCGACCGGCCACACUGGGACUGAGACACGGCCCAGACUCCUACGGGAGGCAGCG